UACGGAGGGGGCUAGCGUUGUUCGGAAUUACUGGGCGUAAAGCGCACGUAGGCGGCUUUGUAAGUUAGAGGUGAAAGCCCGGGGCUCAACUCCGGAAUUGCCUUUAAGACUGCAUCGCUAGAAUUGUGGAGAGGUAAGUGGAAUUCCGAGUGUAGAGGUGAAAUUCGUAGAUAUUGGGAGGAAGCACCGGUGGCGAAGGCGACCACCUGGACGGAGACUGACGCUG
rnacentral:rRNA from 1 species